GAAAACUCAGUCUCACACUUAAACGGUUUAUCCGUCAUCUGUUAGUCCUCAAUUCCCCAGAAGGCGUGAGCCCACUGUUUCUUACACUGCUUUGUAGGCGAGACCGUUCUGUGUUGGUUUAACACAGCAAAGUUUGCAGGGUGCUCGGGCUUUUGCAGCCCUUUCCGUGCCUCAGCUGACCUCAUUUCAACAGUAGGGUAUUUCAGUUGAUGUCAUCACCAUGGGGUCCUGGGAGGCCCUUUCUUUCCCAGCAUCUGGGACUUUCUGAUUCCCAUCCAGAGACUGCCUCAUCUGGGGAUCCAUCCCAUACGCAGACACCAAACCCAGACACUAUUGCUGAUGCCAAGAAGUGCUUGCUGACAGGAGUCUGACACAGCUGUCUCCUGAGAGGCUCUUUGAGCUAUAAGAGCAGCAUCUAGGAAGAUGAAUUAUAAACCAACUACAACAGGAGAGCUGGCUAUCUGAAGAAAAUGUCAAGAUAGCAGAACUAUUUCAGAAUGUAUGACGUCAGCAUGAUAUAAAGAUGUUUUUAAGGUGAAAGAGACACAAGGUUUGGAUGUGAUACAUCAUUCAGGUCCAGGUCACCCCAGCAAGGACUCACUUGCAAGGCAGUCAGCUGCUCAAGAUUAUGGUGGAUAUUUCUUCAAAUUCUUUCUGCUCAUUGUUGGUCUCCUUUGCAUUUUUGUUCUUGGCUUCAUCUUUGUCCAGUUUCACAAAUUCACUGAGAGUUAUUCAAAUGUUGCUGGAUAGUGAGGAAUGACUGUUCUUUAUUCACCUCUGUGGGGUCAGCAUCUGAUUCCCAGCAGUUUAAACUUGAAACAGAAAAAAAAAAAAGCAAACAAACAAAAAACACUUUUCUGCCAUCCUCUCUGGAGUGCAGAAGCAGCCCUUCAGGAUGGGCCAGUUCUUGAAGGUGGAGAUGCAGUGGUCCUUGAGAAACAGGUGCCAGGCCAGAGGGCAGUGCCAGAGUCUCCAAGACACUGUCACCACAACACUCUAUAUUGAACUUAAGAGAAAUGAAUGUAAAACUAAAGACUGUUAUGGCAUAGGUUGAAGAUGGGCUGAUUUUUUUCCUGAGAACAACUGAACAACUGAAUGUGUUACUUCUUAAGACCUUGAGCAAGGUGGUAUUGGUCUCAUUCUUAGAUUUUUGUUCAAUGGAAAACACUAUUGACUGAUGGUUCUGAAAAUUCUAUAAUAUAACAAAUAUGUUACAUUAUAGAAAAUAGGCAACUUAGAAAAUAGGAGGUGCUCGAUAAAUGUUAGUUGUUCCCAAAUAACAAUGUUUUGUAAGUGGGAUGUUGAUUAUUUUUAACCAUACUGGACUUCAUUUCUUCAGGAUACUAAAAUCAGUUGGUAUAUACACCUAUACACACACACACACACACACACACACACACACACACACACACACUGUUUUAUUGGUGACUAUAAGCAAAAGCAAACUGUUUCCACAUUACAUUCUGUUGAUAUACAAUUUAAGUAAUACAAAAAUAAUCUUACAAGUGUUAAUAUCAUAUUAAUUUCCUAUUUCUUUUAGUUAUAUCAUUUUCUUCCUGAAUAGGCAUAAAUCUAGCUGGGUUCCUUGAAACUUAAUAGGCUAAAAUAAGAUAUUUUCUUGUCUUGACUAUAAUAAACCAAGGAUGUUCUCAAUCUAACCCAGUUAAUCUCUGCGGUAGUUUAAAUGAAAAUGACCCCAUAGGCUCUUAUGGAGUGACAUUGUAGAAAGACUGGCCUUAUUGGAGUAGGUGUGGUCUUGUUGGAAGUAGGCCUGUUACUGGGUGUGGGCUUGAGCUCAAACUAGGCCUAGCAGAUCAGUUAGACUGGUUCUUUCCCAAAUGCUAUGGAUCAAGAUAUAAAACUCUCAGCUGCUUCUCCAGCACCAUGUCUGCCUGCACACUGCCAUUCUUCCCACCAUGACAAUAAUGAACUAAACCAAUGAAAUUGUAAGCCAGCCCCAAUGAAAUGUUUUCAUUUGUAAGAGUUGCUUUGGUCACUGUGUCUCUUCACUGCAAGAAAACCAUAAGGUUUUUUUUUUGUUUUUUUUUUUUUUUUUUUUUGGUUCUCUUUUUCGGAGCUGGGGACCGAACCCAGGGCCUUGCGCUUCCUAGGUAAGCGCUCUACCACUGAGCUAAAUCCCCAGCCCCAUAAGUUUUAUUUUCAAAUUCGGACUUGCUUCAUUUUUUAUUUGACUAUUACAGG
ensembl:lncRNA LOC120103526 uncharacterized LOC120103526